CGGCGUGCCUAACAAUGCAAGUCGAGCGGUCACCACUUUGUAGCAAUACAGAUGAAGUGAUAGCGGCAGACGGGUGAGUAACACGUAGGCAAUCUACCUUUCCGUCCGGGAUAACUAGCCGAAAGGUUAGCUAAUACCAGAUACGACCACCGAGCGGCAUCGCUUGGUGCUGAAAGCAGUAAUGCGCGGAUCGAGGAGCCUGCGGCCCAUUAGCUAGUUGGUGUGGGUAAUGGCCCACCAAGGCAACGAUGGGUAGCUGGUCUGAGAGGACGACCAGCCACACUGGGACUGAGACACGGCCCAGACUCCUACGGGAGGCAGCAGUGAGGAAUUUUCCGCAAUGGGCGAAAGCCUGACGGAGCGACGCCGCGUGCACGAGGAAGGUCUUCGGAUCGUAAAGUGCUGUCGAGGGGGACGAUUAUGACGGUACCCCUGGAGGAAGCCCCGGCUAACUACGUGCCAGCAGCCGCGGUAAGACGUAGGGGGCGAGCGUUGUUCGGAAUUACUGGGCGUAAAGCGUGCGUAGGCGGAUCUGUAAGUCGAGGUUGAAAUAUCCGGGCUCAACUCGGGGCACG
rnacentral:rRNA from 1 species